rnacentral:lncRNA from 1 species
UCUGUUGUUCCAAUUCUAAAACUCCCCCAACCCGACUCUCCUUCCAUCUUUCUUCUCUUCUGCAAAUCCCUAGAUCUUUCACCCCUUCAAUGACGAUUUCCCUUCUUCUCGGUCGAAUAUCGCUUCUCGUCUGGGUUGACUGGUAAGAAUCUUUCGAAAUCCUUAAUUUCUCCGUUGACUGGGUAUAUGGUUGUUCAUUUUUCUGUUUGAUUUUUUCUUUCUCUAAUGCCCGCUUCGUUUUUCCUUUCUCUUUAAAUUCUGUGUUGCUUCUGUUGCUAUUUGUAGGGCAUUCAACAACUUGGGCAUUCCAAUUGUUGCUCUUAUUUUCUACGAGUGAAGUCGUCUGCUGUUCAUUGCAAUUAAGGAAAGUUCAUUUUCUGUUUCUUGUAUUAUUCGGUCUGUUGAGGUUUUCUGGGUUUUAAAUCUAAGUGUUUUUGUGGUCUGACAUAUAUUUGAAAUAUGUAAUUUUUACAUACCUAAUAAAAUUAAAAUUAAUGCUUAAAAUAGGGAAAUGCUUUUGAUGAAAUAAAAUAAUUUAUGGUUC